ACUGAGAUACGGCCCAGACUCCUACGGGAGGCAGCAGUGGGGAAUAUUGCACAAUGGGCGAAAGCCUGAUGCAGCGACGCCGCGUGAGGGAUGGAGGCCUUCGGGUUGUAAACCUCUUUCGCUCAUGGUCAAGCCGCAACUCAAGGUUGUGGUGAGGGUAGUGGGUAAAGAAGCGCCGGCUAACUACGUGCCAGCAGCCGCGGUAAUACGUAGGGCGCGAGCGUUGUCCGGAAUUAUUGGGCGUAAAGGGCUUGUAGGCGGUUGGUCGCGUCUGCCGUGAAAUCCUCUGGCUUAACUGGGGGCGUGCGGUGGGUACGGGCUGACUUGAGUGCGGUAGGGGAGACUGGAACUCCUGGUGUAGCGGUGGAAUGCGCAGAUAUCAGGAAGAACACCGGUGGCGAAGGCGGGUCUCUGGGCCGUUACUGACGCUGAGGAGCGAAAGCGUGGGGAGCGAACAGGAUUAGAUACCCUGGUAGUCCACGCUGUAAACGUUGGGCACUAGGUGUGGGGGCCACCCGUGGUUUCUGCGCCGUAGCUAACGCUUUAAGUGCCCCGCCUGGGGAGUACGGCCGCAAGGCUAAAACUCAAAGGAAUUGACGGGGGCCCGCACAAGCGGCGGAGCAUGCGGAUUAAUUCGAUGCAACGCGAAGAACCUUACCAAGGCUUGACAUGCACGGCGGCACUGCAGAGAUGUGGUGGCAUUUAGUUGGUCGUGUGCAGGUGGUGCAUGGUUGUCGUCAGCUCGUGUCGUGAGAUGUUGGGUUAAGUCCCGCAACGAGCGCAACCCUUGCC
rnacentral:rRNA from 1 species